UUUGGUGUUCGGCCGGUGCUGGGACUACGAGGAUGAUACCUUCCUGAAAUUUCUUUCUAUAGUUAACAAUCUGUUUACUUUCCUCUGAAGUCGUUUAGGAUUGGCAUACACUGCGUUUGACAGUCUAAUGAAGCGUCUUCCGGGUCCCCAUCAGAAGGUGUUUGCAGACUGCGAGCAUGUGAAAUCUUUCAUCAGGGAGGAAAUUGAAUCACACCGGAGAACCCUGGAUCCAGAGUCCCCCCGAGACUUCAUAGAUUGCUUCCUCAUCCAGGCCAACAA